rnacentral:rRNA from 1 species
AGUCUCCGAGGAAGUGUAUGUUGCCAAGUAUUGGAAGCGAACUCAGCUGUAUUGUAUCAAUCGGACCACAAUGGAUUAUUUCCAAUACAUGUCGCUGCCUCUGUUGGUGAAAGAGGGACAGUCAUCAUGUUUAUUAACAAGUCCCCAACGAGCGCCGGUUUGCGUGACAGUAUGGGAAGGACAUUCCUUCAUGUAGCUGCUGAGAAAAAGAAAGUCGGGAUAGUCAGUUUUGUUUGCAGAAAUCGAUCGCUCUCAUGGAUUUUGAAUAUGCAGGAUAAUGAUGGAAACACUGCACUACACCUAGCUAUCCAGACAGGGAGUCUUCCAAUGUUUUGUGCUUUGUUAGGUAAUCGGCAAAUAUGUUUAAACUUAUCAAAUUAGAAACGGCAAACUGCUCUAGAUACGUCGCAGUAUAAGAUCCCCUCAGGGUUUUUUGAUGAUCAGAACAGUGAAGCCAGGAUACACUUUGCACUUAAAGUCGUUAGUGCUAGGAGUGGUGGCUGUCGCCGGGAUCACUUUGAAAACUACAAUGACCAGUUAAAACAUUAUGAAAAAGAAGAAUUAGCAAAGGUGAAAGAUUCAACACAAACAUUGUGUAUUGCUGUAGUUCUAAUUGCAACUAUGACGUUCGGUGCUAUUUUUGCCCUUCCUGGAGGUUACAGAGCCGAUGAGCAUACCAAUGGAGGCACGCCUACACUUUCUGGAAGUUAUGCUUUUGAUGCAUUUAUAAUAGCCAGCACACCCUCUUUCAUCUUGUCUGCGAUGUCUAUAGUAGGUCUCAUAUAUUCUGGAUACUACUCACGCAGUCGCAGAAUUUACUUACUCGUAGCCUUGCAUUUUGGAGCAACAUCGGUCACAUGUUUCACCGCAGCUUUUACACUAGGAUUGUACAUGGUGCUCGCGCCAGUUGCUCAUAAGUCUGCCGUCACUAUCUGUGUCAUUAGCACCCUUGUUGUUCUAUGCAACAAAAUUGAAUUUUGGCUAAACUGGGCUCUUCUGACACGACCAUUAUGUACACGAAUUGGGCUAAUUCGCACGUUGGCAAUAUUGGCAACGAGAAUCAUUUGCAACCUCCUGAUGGAAUUUUGGCCCAUCAUAUUCAUAUUUGUUUGGGCCACAUAUACAAGGAACUAG